rnacentral:rRNA from 1 species
AUGUGCUUCUGUGGAAGCGCUUCUUGUGUGCAAAAGAAGGAUUUCGGCCCGAGAAAGGUAUGGUUGUUGUUGAUCAUUCCAAGAAAAGGCAAAAGGUAUGAACUUCGUGCAACAUGGAUACCAGCUUACUUUAUGGAAAUUCCCCUAGCUGGUCUUCUCAGGACAACUUCGGUUUCAGAGAGCGCAAACUCAUUUUUUAAGCGUUUCAUUUGUCGCAAGCUUACCUUUGUUGAGUUUUGGCUAAGAUUUGACACUGCUUUGAAGUGUCAGAGGCAGAAUGAGUUAAUUGCUGAUAACACAAGUGAAUACACAACAAGUGAGUUGGUGACACCAUGGGAAAUAGAGAGACAAGGCAGGGCGGUAUUCACCCACGAGAUUUUUGAAUUAUUUCAGGCCCAGGUGCUUGCUGCCAGAGAUGAUUGUGAUGUUCAGGACACGGAAAAUCGUGAGGGGAUUAAAAUCAUGUUUGUGAGUGAUCAAUACAAAAAGAUUAGAGAAGUGUCUUAUGACACAAUAUCCAUGACUGCUAAAUGUUCUUGCAAGCUUUUUGAGUCCAAUGGAAUCAUGUGCCGCCAUAUUAUCCGAGUGUUGAGGGGUGCGAAAAUAAAUGAAUUGCCAAGAAUUUAUGUUCUUAAGCGGUGGGAGAGAAAUUGCAAAAGGGACAUUAUCUUCGACGGGGAAGGGAACAUACUUGAAGAGAAUUUAAUUGACCCGGUUGACAUGGCUAUGAAAAGGAAGAUAGCUCUCGUUAGGAACAAGCUAGAAGAUCUCAUUCGGAAGACUAAAGGUUCAAUGGAAGGAAUUGAAUUCCUGCACACUAGUUUGUGCAACGCUGAGAUGGCUUUAGCCCAUCUCGUACCGGCUGUAGCAUGCAACACACACGAAAAUGAGGAGUCAUUUAUCGGGAGCAUCAUUCCAAAGCACGUUACUAUCCACACACCUACUGAUAUCAAUGCAAGGGGCACUUGCUCUAGAAUAAAGGGACACAGGGAUGCUGUGAGGAGUGGGUCAAGUGAGAAGAAAAGAAGGCCUGGAAUCCAUCAAAAAGUCGCACGCAAAUGUAGCAUUUGCAAGGAAGUGGUGUUCCAUGAUGCAAGGACAUGUUCUAAGAAACAAAUGACACAACAAUAG